rnacentral:tRNA from 1 species
CGGGGCGUAGCGCAGUCCGGUAGCGUAUCUGCUUUGGGAGCAGAGGGUCGCUGGUUCGAAUCCAGUCGCCCCGA